UUAAAAUAUUGUUAACAAAUACGUUUAUGCUAAUUUUAAGGGAUUAAUGUGAAGUUUGUUUGGAUUAAAUUUGAUUGAUAAUGUGAUUGACAAUUUAAAUUAAGAAUUUAAAGUAAAAUUAAUUAUUUUGGAAAAAAGAAAUAAUGCUAAUGGCAUUGGGUUGUAAAUAAGUCUAACUCUAGGAUUUAUUUGUUAAAAUGGCUGCAAAAAUGUAUAUAUAGAUAGAUGAUCUAACUUUAUUACUAAAU
rnacentral:sRNA from 1 species